AUGUGCUUCCAGACUCUGACUCUUAUCUGCGUUUUAUUGAACAAAUGAAUUUGGCUACUAAAGACUGAUCCUGGACUGACAUCUUAGAUAUUCCUUCACCAAGAAUGGAUAACAGGGCAGGAACCAAAAAUUUCCUGGUGCCUCACUCCAAGAUGCAAUAUCAGCUCUUGUCCUAAAGAUAGGAGCAACGCUGAAGGGAGCAAUGAGAUCCAGAAACACAAACCUGUGGGAAUUGAUUUAACUUCAUAGACAUUCUGUUAAAGACUUUGGACUUUGUUCGGAGUCAGAACUGCAUAGAAUAGUUUUGGAGUCUGUGUCCUGUGCCCAGGGGCUGGUGACCCAGUGUCUGUUGUGGAUGCCUAGUGUCUUUAAAUGAUUCUCCCCUACUCCACGCCACAGGGAUGGACUCUCA
rnacentral:lncRNA from 1 species